AGCUCCAAUAGCGUAUAUUAAAGUUGUUGCAGUUAAAAAGCUCGUAGUUGAAUUUCUGGUCAAUCGUAGUCUUGGCUUCGGUCGGGCUAUGGUUGGUCAUCCGUUUGCAAGCUGCACUCGGCCUUCACUGGUUCGGUGUAGUGAGCUGACAUUUUACUUUGAAAAAAUUAGAGUGUUUCAGGCAGGCUUUUGCCCGAAUACAUUAGCAUGGAAUAAUGGAAUUGGACUCCGGUUCAUUUGGUUGGUUAUUGGAUCUGAGUAAUGGUUAAUAGGGACAGUUGGGGGCAUUAGUAUUUAAUUGUCAGAGGUGAAAUUCUUGGAUUUAUUAAAGACUAACUUAUGCGAAAGCAUUUGCCAAGGAUGUUU
rnacentral:rRNA from 1 species